UAGAGCUAACGCAGGGAACUGAAACAUCUUAGUACCUGCAGGAAGAGAAAAUAAAUGAAUGAUUCCCCCAGUAGUGGCGAGCGAACGGGGAACAGCCCAAACCAGUGGCGUCGCAAGGCGUGGCUGGGGUUGUAGGACCGCGACAUUGUACUGAAAUGGUGAGUGGAAGUAUCUGGAAAGUUACAUCACAGAAGGUGAUAAUCCUGUACACGAAGCCAGAUCAGGCAUAGCGGUAUCCUGAGUAACGCGGGACACGAGGAAUCCUGCGCGAAUCUGCCGGGACCAUCCGGUAAGGCUAAAUACUCCCGUGAGACCGAUAGCGAACGAGUACUGUGAAGGAAAGGUGAAAAGAACCCCGAGCAGGGGAGUGAAAUAGUUCCUGAAACCAUACGCCUACAAGCGGUCGGAGCAUCGCAAGAUGUGACGGCGUGCCUUUUGCAUAAUGAUCCUACGAGUUACCGUCACUGGCGAGGUUGAGUGUCACGAGACACGUAGCCGCAGUGAAAGCGAGCCUGAAUAGGGCGCACAGUCAGUGGGGGUAGACGCGAAACCAAGUGAUCUACACUUGGCCAGGAUGAAGUCCCGGUAACACGGGAUGGAGGUCCGCACCAAUAAGCGUUGAAAAGCUUCUGGAUGAGCUGAGUGUAGGAGUGAAAGGCCAAUCAAACUUGGAGAUAGCUCGUACUCCCCGAAAGGCAUUUAGGUGCCGCGUCGGAUGGUCACCGUGAGAGGUAGAGCGACCGAUAGGACAAGAGGGCUUCACCGCCUAUCGAGUCCUGACGAACUCCGAAUGCUCACGGUCUGCAGUCCGGCAGUAAGGGGGCGGGUGCUAAGGUCCGUCCCCGAGAGGAGAAGAAUCCAGACCGCCGUCUAAGGUCCCGGAGUUCUGCCUGAGUUAGUCUAACGAAGUCUGGUCCCUAUGACAGCUAGGAUGUUGGCUUGGAAGCAGCCAUUCAUUCAAAGAGUGCGUAACAGCUCACUAGUCGAGGGUCCGGGCAUGGAUAAUAAUCGGGUAUAAGGCAGACACCGAAGGCGCGGGAUAGCAAUUUUAAAAGUAUCGGUAGGGGAGCAUACUCACAGCGUCGAAUGGUGUACGUAAGUUAUCCUGGAGCGGUGAGUAAAGCAAAUGUAGGAAUAAGUAACGAUAAGGAGGGUUAGAUUCCCUCCCGCUGUAAGACCAAGGUUUCCCGGGCAAUGCCAAUCAGCCCGGGGUCAGUCGGGUCCUAAGUCUAAGCCGAACGGCGAUGGCGAUGGCAGAGACGGUUAAUAUUCCGUCACUGCCGCAUGGGGCGACGUGGAGACGGAGCAGUGAAACCACCGCGGGGCGACGGAAGUCCCCGUUGAAGGGUGUAGGUGUUGAGGAUGGCAGGCAAAUCCACCAUCCGAGCUGAACUUGAGAGUACGGAGUCCUCUUCGGAGGAAUCUGAUAGUGUGGGUAAUCAUACUCCCGAGAAAAUCCGCUAAGCUUAACCCAUGCGGCACCCGUACCGCAAACGGACACACGUGGUCGGGUAGAACAUACUAAGGCGUUGAGAGAUUCAUGGUUAAGGAACUAGGCAAAUUGACCCUGUAACUUCGGGAUAAAGGGUCCUCGUGAUGAGCGAGGCGCAGAGAAUAGGUCCAGGCAACUGUUUAACAAAAACACAGGGCUGUGCAAACUCGAAAGAUGACGUAUACAGCCUGACACCUGCCCGGUGCCGGAAGGUUAAGAGGAGAUGUCACUCGCAAGAGGAAGCAUUGAAUUGAAGCCCCGGUAAACGGCGGCCGUAACUAUAACGGUCCUAAGGUAGCGAAAUUCCUUGUCGGGU
rnacentral:rRNA from 1 species